CAGCAGCCGCGGUAAUACGUAGGGUGCGAGCGUUAAUCGGAAUUACUGGGCGUAAAGCGUGCGCAGGCGGUUUUGUAAGACAGGCGUGAAAUCCCCGGGCUCAACCUGGGAAUGGCGCUUGUGACUGCAAAGCUAGAGUGCGGCAGAGGGGGAUGGAAUUCCGCGUGUAGCAGUGAAAUGCGUAGAUAUGCGGAAGAACACCGAUGGCGAAGGCAAUCCCCUGGGCCUGCACUGACGCUCAUGCACGAAAGCGUGGGGAGCAAACAGGAUUAGAUACCCCUGUAGUCCCUGUCUCUUAUAC
rnacentral:rRNA from 1 species